UACAGAGGGUGCGAGCGUUGUUCGGAAUUAUUGGGUCGUAAAGAGCUCGUAGGCGGUCUGUCGCGUCGGCGUGUCGAAAACUCGGGGCUACAACCCCGAGCCUGCAGUCGAUACGGGCAGGCUAGAGUUCGGUAGGGGAGACUGGAAUUCCUGGUGUAGCGGUGAAAUGCGCAGAUAUCAGGAGGAACACCGAUGGCGAAGGC
rnacentral:rRNA from 1 species